rnacentral:rRNA from 1 species
CAAGGGGGUCAUCCCGACUUACCAACCCGAUGCAAACUGCGAAUACCGGAGAAUGUUAUCACGGGAGACACACGGCGGGUGCUAACGUCCGUCGUGAAGAGGGAAACAACCCAGACCGCCAGCUAAGGUCCCAAAGUCAUGGUUAAGUGGGAAACGAUGUGGGAAGGCCCAGACAGCCAGGAUGUUGGCUUAGAAGCAGCCAUCAUUUAAAGAAAGCGUAAUAGCUCACUGGUCGAGUCGGCCUGCGCGGAAGAUGUAACGGGGCUAAACCAUGCACCGAAGCUGCGGCAGCGACACUAUGUGUUGUUGGGUAGGGGAGCGUUCUGUAAGCCUGUGAAGGUGUACUGUGAGGUAUGCUGGAGGUAUCAGAAGUGCGAAUGCUGACAUAAGUAACGAUAAAGCGGGUGAAAAGCCCGCUCGCCGGAAGACCAAGGGUUCCUGUCCAACGUUAAUCGGGGCAGGGUGAGUCGACCCCUAAGGCGAGGCCGAAAGGCGUAGUCGAUGGGAAACAGGUUAAUAUUCCUGUACUUGGUGUUACUGCGAAGGGGGGACGGAGAAGGCUAUGUUGGCCGGGCGACGGUUGUCCCGGUUUAAGCGUGUAGGCUGAUUUUCCAGGCAAAUCCGGAAAAUCAAGGCUGAGGCGUGAUGACGAGGCACUACGGUGCUGAAGCAACAAAUGCCCUGCUUCCAGGAAAAGCCUCUAAGCAUCAGGUAACAUCAAAUCGUACCCCAAACCGACACAGGUGGUCAGGUAGAGAAUACCAAGGCGCUUGAGAGAACUCGGGUGAAGGAACUAGGCAAAAUGGUGCCGUAACUUCGGGAGAAGGCACGCUGAUAUGUAGGUGAAGCGACUUGCUCGUGGAGCUGAAAUCAGUCGAAGAUACCAGCUGGCUGCAACUGUUUAUUAAAAACACAGCACUGUGCAAACACGAAAGUGGACGUAUACGGUGUGACGCCUGCCCGGUGCCGGAAGGUUAAUUGAUGGGGUUAGCGGUAACGCGAAGCUCUUGAUCGAAGCCCCGGUAAACGGCGGCCGUAACUAUAACGGUCCUAAGGUAGCGAAAUUCCUUGUCGGGUAAGUUCCGACCUGCACGAAUGGCGUAAUGAUGGCCAGGCUGUCUCCACCCGAGACUCAGUGAAAUUGAACUCGCUGUGAAGAUGCAGUGUACCCGCGGCAAGACGGAAAGACCCCGUGAACCUUUACUAUAGCUUGACACUGAACAUUGAGCCUUGAUGUGUAGGAUAGGUGGGAGGCUUUGAAGUGUGGACGCCAGUCUGCAUGGAGCCGACCUUGAAAUACCACCCUUUAAUGUUUGAUGUUCUAACGUUGGCCCGUUAUCCGGGUUGCGGACAGUGUCUGGUGGGUAGUUUGACUGGGGCGGUCUCCUCCUAAAGAGUAACGGAGGAGCACGAAGGUUGGCUAAUCCUGGUCGGACAUCAGGAGGUUAGUGCAAUGGCAUAAGCCAGCUUGACUGCGAGCGUGACGGCGCGAGCAGGUGCGAAAGCAGGUCAUAGUGAUCCGGUGGUUCUGAAUGGAAGGGCCAUCGCUCAACGGAUAAAAGGUACUCCGGGGAUAACAGGCUGAUACCGCCCAAGAGUUCAUAUCGACGGCGGUGUUUGGCACCUCGAUGUCGGCUCAUCACAUCCUGGGGCUGAAGUAGGUCCCAAGGGUAUGGCUGUUCGCCAUUUAAAGUGGUACGCGAGCUGGGUUUAGAACGUCGUGAGACAGUUCGGUCCCUAUCUGCCGUGGGCGCUGGAGAACUGAGGGGGGCUGCUCCUAGUACGAGAGGACCGGAGUGGACGCAUCACUGGUGUUCGGGUUGUCAUGCCAAUGGCACUGCCCGGUAGCUAAAUGCGGAAGAGAUAAGUGCUGAAAGCAUCUAAGCACGAAACUUGCCCCGAGAUGAGUUCUCCCUGACUCCUUGAGAGUCCUGAAGGAACGUUGAAGACGACGACGUUGAUAGGCCGGGUGUGUAAGCGCAGCGAUGCGUUGAGCUAACCGGUACUAAUGAACCGUGAGG